ACUCGCUCCGGCGCAGCCAGUUCAGCGAGUCUGAGAGCCGGUCCCCUCUGGAAGAGGAGUCACACAGCGCGUGGAUGUUCAAGGACUCCACAGAAGAGAAGUCACCCAGGAGGGAUGAAUCCGAUGAAGAGCCUCCCAGGGUGGAGAGGACCCCUGUUGGCCACCCUCAGAGGAUGCCUGUGUUUCCAGGCAUGGACCCAGCUGUGCUGAAGGCUCAGCUGCCCAAGAGAUCAGAAGUGGACAGUCCUGGAGAGUCUCUAAGCUGGACACCCCAGCCCAAGACCCCUAAGUCGCCCUUCCAGCCUGGGGUGCUGGGCAGUCGGGUGCUGCCUUCCAGUGCAGAGAGAGAGGAGAGGUCUGAGGAGCGCUCACCCCAGUGGCUAAAGGAACUGAAAUCCAAGAAGAGGCAGAGCCUGUAUGAGAAUCAAGCUUGACCGGACAGAAGAUCACUAUACCCACAAACUCAAGCCUUAACCGCCAGACGUCUGAGGCCAAGACACCCACUCUCCCUGACCACGCUCACGUGCCUGGGCCUCUCCACCCUGAGGACGCCGUGCUGAGCCCCACCCGGGUCCCCUCGGGAAGACCCUGUCCCGGGACUCGCUCCAGUCCACAGAGAGAUCUUUCAGCUCUCCUUCAAGAAGUGUCCAGGCCCGUGGAUUGGCCUUUGGUGUGACAGUUGGCCUUCCUGCUCUCUGCGGACACCUCGCCGGGCUCCCUAGGCUGGGGGUUCCACCUGGGCUCCGCCCCUGGCAGCCUUUCAGGAAGGACCCUGGCAAGAAAGCCUGAAUGACUCUUGGGUGGCAAAGGUCACCAUCCAAGCGUUACACCGGUGUCUCCCGGGUUGGGUUUGAUUUUUUUUUUUUUACACCCCCCUUCCUGACAAGCUCUUCUUCCCCACUAACUGCCUUCAUUCUGAUUUAUAAGCACAGCCCAGCCCCAUCUUGUCUGUAUCCUUUUCCUUCCUGUGAGGCCCUGGGCACAGUUGUCCUGGGUCUCGACACUCUCCUGUUUGCUUUAGAGGAGGAUAAAGCAAUAAUGCGGCCAGUUUCCCCUGAA
rnacentral:lncRNA from 1 species